rnacentral:lncRNA from 1 species
CCUGCUGACCAGGUCCUCACUGGCAGGAGACUUGGAGCUUGGUCAGGUUGUGGCAAGGGACACAGACAACGAAGCGCACAAGAGAAGGCCUCCCUGGAUGCCCUGCAAACUUUUCAUGGACCUUGGCAAAGCUCUUCUUAUAUGUGAACCUUAGUCUCCCAGACUGCACCAGAAAGAAAGAGCCUGGGCCAGUUAAAGUUACUAUGUACCUAGGAGUAAUGCACCUUAACGCAAAGUCUAACAUGGGACCCUCUCCCUCAAUCCCUUGGCUUCCCUCCCAGGAGAAAGGUAGACUUAAUUACGAAUGUUAUCCAUGGUUAAGAGGAAUGGGGAACAAGGGAGAGGGAACUUCGCCUAAAAGCCAGCCUGGGAGAGAUCAUGCCAAAGCACAGACAGGUAUGCUUCAAAGACCCCAAACAAGAGGCAGCACCAAAGGCCUCCUUGGUGGGCCCAGCUCUGAAAUUUCAGGCUCUCAGGCUCUGCCAGGUGGUUGGCAUGGCCCGUGGCAGUCAAUAAGAACUUGCCCACCGGAAGAAUAUGAAGAACACGCAAGAAAAUAGCAAGGGAAAAAGAAAAGAUGAUCACUUGACUACUUCUCACAGAAAACAGGGGGACUCAGAUCAUGCAAUAAAUCAGAGGGCAGCUAAUGAGAAGAAGUCUAGGCAAGCAAGAGAAAAAUAAUGACCAGCUCUGGGAAAUGUGGGUGCUGCUGCCAACUGGUACCUCAGAAGAUCCAAGAUCAGGAUUCCUUAGAAUAAACAAGCAUUACAUGUGUUAUAAAUCAUCCUCAUAAAACUGUUUACCUGAAAUUUUGCUUUUUGGCCUUCGUGUGAUGUUUUAGAACCAUUCUUUUUUUUUUUUUUUUUGGUACCGGGGAUUGAACUCGGGUCCUUGCACUUGCAAGGCAGGCCACCGAAACACUGAGCUAAAUCCCCAGCCCCUAGAACCAUUC